AUAAGUUAUUAUCAUUAAUUAUGUACUGAAAUGUAAAGUAAUGUUCAUUGAAAUGCGAAUAACAUUAGUAAAUUCUGUCAAAACUAAAUCGUUGGUCGUUUUAAGUAAAAUUCCAGUUGGACAAAUUAUUUGAUAUCCGUGUGCCGAUAAGUUCGGUGAACGCGUUGACCCUUGGCUUUUCUGAAUUACGACCUGGCCCAAGCAAUACGUGUUUUGUGGGGUCUUCAAGAAACGCCAAAGUUUCAAGGUAUAUUUUGCUGCCCAAGGAUGGAAAAGUCCUGCCAACGAGUUUUCACGGCACUGUUCAUCACUGUUACUUUGUUUUGACAAUCGUUAAGUCAAAUAAAGACAUUCGUCACCAGAAAAUGAA